GACGAACGCUGGCGGCGUGCCUAAUACAUGCAAGUCGAACGCACGAAGUUGAAGAGCUUGCUCUUUAACCAAGUGAGUGGCGGACGGGUGAGUAACACGUGGGUAACCUGCCCAUUAGAGGGGGAUAACAUUCGGAAACGGAUGCUAAUACCGCAUAGUUUCAGGGAUCGCAUGAUUCUUGAAGGAAAGGUGGCUCCGGCUACCACUAAUGGAUGGACCCGCGGCGUAUUAGCUAGUUGGUGAGGUAAUGGCUCACCAAGGCAACGAUACGUAGCCGACCUGAGAGGGUGAUCGGCCACACUGGGACUGAGACACGGCCCAGACUCCUACGGGAGGCAGCAGUAGGGAAUCUUCCGCAAUGGACGAAAGUCUGACGGAGCAACGCCGCGUGAGUGAAGAAGGUUUUCGGAUCGUAAAACUCUGUUGUUAAAGAAGAACAAGGAUGAGAGUAACUGCUCAUCCCCUGACGGUAUUUAACCAGAAAGCCACGGCUAACUACGUGCCAGCAGCCGCGGUAAUACGUAGGUGGCAAGCGUUGUCCGGAUUUAUUGGGCGUAAAGCGAGCGCAGGCGGUUCUUUAAGUCUGAUGUGAAAGCCCCCGGCUCAACCGGGGAGGGUCAUUGGAAACUGGAGAACUUGAGUGCAGAAGAGGAGAGUGGAAUUCCACGUGUAGCGGUGGAAUGCGUAGAUAUGUGGAGGAACACCAGUGGCGAAGGCGACUCUCUGGUCUGUAACUGACGCUGAGGCUCGAAAGCGUGGGGAGCAAACAGG
rnacentral:rRNA from 1 species